rnacentral:rRNA from 1 species
GCCAGUGGUGAACUCCACAUCCGCAUCCUUUGCUGAGGAUACGGUUAACGGAGCGAAAGCGACGUUCAACCGCAAAACAAGCAGAGGGGGCUUAGUGGUGGGGUGACUGCGUACCUUUUGUAUAAUGGGUCAGCGACUUAUAUUCUGUAGCAAGGUUAACCGAAUAGGGGAGCCGGAGGGAAACCGAGUCUUAAUUGGGCGUUAAGUUGCAGGGUAUAGACCCGAAACCCGGUGAUCUAGCCAUGGGCAGGUUGAAGGUUGGGUAACACUAACUGGAGGACCGAACCGACUAAUGUUGAAAAAUUAGCGGAUGACCUGUGGCUGGGGGUGAAAGGCCAAUCAAACCGGGAGAUAGCUGGUUCUCCCCGAAAGCUAUUUAGGUAGCGCCUCGUGAAUUCAUCUCCGGGGGUAGAGCACUGUUUCGGCUAGGGGGGCAUCCCGGCUUACCAACCCGAUGCAAACUGCGAAUACCGGAGAAUGUUAUCACGGGAGACACACGGCGGGUGCUAACGUCCGUCGUGAAGAGGGAAACAACCCAGACCGCCAGCUAAGGUCCCAAAGUCAUGGUUAAGUGGGAAACGAUGUGGGAAGGCCCAGACAGCCAGGAUGUUGGCUUAGAAGCAGCCAUCAUUUAAAGAAAGCGUAAUAGCUCACUGGUCGAGUCGGCCUGCGCGGAAGAUGUAACGGGGCUAAACCAUGCACCGAAGCUGCGGCAGCGAACGUAUCACCCAAGACAACUUUACGGAGUUGACGAUUGACGGAGCGAAGCGACGUCAAAGCGUUCAUUAAAGUCGAGUUGGCUUAGGGAUACGUUCGUUGGGUAGGGGAGCGUUCUGUAAGCCUGUGAAGGUGUGUCGUGAGGCAUGCUGGAGGUAUCAGAAGUGCGAAUGCUGACAUAAGUAACGAUAAAGCGGGUGAAAAGCCCGCUCGCCGGAAGACCAAGGGUUCCUGUCCAACGUUAAUCGGGGCAGGGUGAGUCGACCCCUAAGGCGAGGCCGAAAGGCGUAGUCGAUGGGAAACGGGUUAAUAUUCCCGUACUUGGUGUUACUGCGAAGGGGGGACGGAGAAGGCUAUGUUGGCCGGGCGACGGUUGUCCCGGUUUAAGCGUGUAGGUGUGUGUUCCAGGUAAAUCCGGUU